rnacentral:rRNA from 1 species
CCUACGGGUGGCUGCAGUGGGGAAUAUUGGACAAUGGGGGGAACCCUGAUCCAGCCAUGCCGCGUGUGUGAAGAAGGCCCUCGGGUUGUAAAGCACUUUCAGUGAGGAAGAACGCCUGGUGGUUAAUACCCAUCAGGAAAGACAUCACUCACAGAAGAAGCACCGGCUAACUCCGUGCCAGCAGCCGCGGUAAUACGGAGGGUGCGAGCGUUAAUCGGAAUUACUGGGCGUAAAGCGCGUGUAGGUGGCUUGAUAAGCCGGUUGUGAAAGCCCCGGGCUCAACCUGGGAACGGCAUCCGGAACUGUCAAGCUAGAGUGCAGGAGAGGAAGGUAGAAUUCCCGGUGUAGCGGUGAAAUGCGUAGAGAUCGGGAGGAAUACCAGUGGCGAAGGCGGCCUUCUGGACUGACACUGACACUGAGGUGCGAAAGCGUGGGUAGCAAACAGGAUUAGAUACCCUGGUAGUC